rnacentral:rRNA from 1 species
ACGCACGCUGGCGGCGUGCUUAACACAUGCCAGUCGAACGAUGAAGAAGAGAAACGCGAACUUCGGUUCAAAUUUCACUUCGGAUUAGUGGCAGACGGGUGAGUAACGCGUGAGCAACCUACCUCUUACAAAGGGAUAGCCUCGGGAAACCGUGAUUAAUACCAUAUGACACAUUCAUAAGGCAUCUUAAGAAUGUUAAAGCUACGGCGGUAAGAGAUGGGCUCGCGUCCCAUUAGCUAGUUGGUGAGGUAACGGCCCACCAAGGCGACGAUGGGUAACCGGCCUGAGAGGGUGAACGGUCACAUUGGAACUGAGACACGGUCCAAACUCCUACGGGAGGCAGCAGUGGGGAAUAUUGCACAAUGGAGGGAACUCUGAUGCAGCGACGCCGCGUGAGCGAUGAAGGAAUUCGUUUCGUAAAGCUCUGUUCUAUGGGAAGAAAAGGACUGUACCAUAGGAGAAAGCCCCGGCUAAAUACGUG